rnacentral:rRNA from 1 species
GUGAACGCUGGCGGCGUGCCUAAUACAUGCAAGUCGCGCGAACAGACGAGGAGCUUGCUCCUCUGACGUUAGCGGCGGACGGGUGAGUAACACGUGGAUAACCUACCUAUAAGACUGGGAUAACUUCGGGAAACCGGAGCUAAUACCGGAUAAUAUAUUGAACCGCAUGGUUCAAUAGUGAAAGACGGUUUUGCUGUCACUUAUAGAUGGAUCCGCGCCGCAUUAGCUAGUUGGUAAGGUAACGGCUUACCAAGGCAACGAUGCGUAGCCGACCUGAGAGGGUGAUCGGCCACACUGGAACUGAGACACGGUCCAGACUCCUACGGGAGGCAGCAGUAGGGAAUCUUCCGCAAUGGGCGAAAGCCUGACGGAGCAACGCCGCGUGAGUGAUGAAGGUCUUCGGAUCGUAAAACUCUGUUAUUAGGGAAGAACAAAUGUGUAAGUAACUAUGCACGUCUUGACGGUACCUAAUCAGAAAGCCACGGCUAACUACGUG